GCCCGGCACGGUGGCGCACGCCUGUAGUCCCAGCUACUCGGAAGGCUAAGACAGGAGGAUCGCUUGAGUCCAGGAGUUCUGGGCUGUAGAGCGCUAUGGUGAUCAGGUAUCCUCACUAAGUUCGGCAUCAAUAGGGUGACCUCCCAGGAACCGGGGCCACCAGGUUGCCUAAGGAGGGGUGAACCGGCCCAGGUCAGAAAUGGAGCAGGUCAAACUCCCGUGCUAAUCAGAAAUAAGUCACAGUAACAAAUUAUAAAAGAAACGGCUAUGCCCCUCUUCAUUCUACAUGAAAUAAAAAUACAGCUCCACCCUUC
ensembl:misc_RNA Metazoa_SRP Metazoan signal recognition particle RNA